rnacentral:rRNA from 1 species
GACGAACCGUGCGAACGUUGUUCGGAAUCACUGGGCUUAAAGGGCGCGUAGGCGGACCGGCGAGUCAGGGGUGAAAGCCCGCGGCCCAACCGCGGAAGUGCCCCUGAUACCGCCGGCCUUGAGGGGGAUAGGGGCGUGCGGAACUUCGGGUGGAGCGGUGAAAUGCGUAGAUAUCCGAAGGAACACCGGUGGCGAAGGCGGCACGCUGGGUCACUACUGACGCUGAGGCGCGAAAGCGUGGGGAGCAAACAGG